rnacentral:rRNA from 1 species
GGAGUUUGGGCCGUGUCUCAGUCCCAAUGUGGCCGAUCACUCUCUCAAGUCGGCUACUGAUCGUUGCCUUGGUGGGCCGUUACCCCUCCAACUAGCUAAUCAGACGCGGGUCCAUCUCAUACCACCGGAGUUUUUCACACUGCAUCAUGCGAUGCUGUGCGCUUAUGCGGUAUUAACAGUCGUUUCCAACUGUUAUCCCCCUGUAUGAGGCAGGUUACCCACGCGUUACUCACCCGUCCGCCACUAAGUCACAAACAAAAUCCCUUCGAGCAAGCUCUCCAGUCAAUCGUAAGUGCUUCGUUCGACUUGCAUGUGUUAAGCACGCCGCCAGCGUUCAUCCUGAGCCAGGAUCAAACUACU